GGAAGUAAAAGUCGUAACAAGGUCUCCGUU
rnacentral:rRNA from 1 species